UGCUACUUUUCAUUGUUUUCGUUCUUUUAUGAGACAAGAUUUGAGCCAUUGAGCCCAAACUUGAAAAGUAUAAUGAUAUACAUGAAGAAAUAGAUAGGUAUAAAUGGGGAAAAUGAAAAUUACUCCUUUCUUGUCACGUCUUCUUUCUCCGACAAUUUCUUUUUUGUACUAAUUGGAAGAAAAAAUCAUGCAUUAAUCACAAAAUCAAAUGUUCCAUAUAUUAUAUUAUAUUAUAUUUAUUAUAUUUAAGAGACCAAGCUGCCCAAACCGAUGGGAUAUCUUUCCAUCUUUACCUCCUUUCAACAAAACUAGGGGAAUAGGCGGCUAGGUGCU
rnacentral:lncRNA from 1 species